rnacentral:tRNA from 1 species
GCCGGGGUGGCGCAAUUUGGCAGACGCGCAGCAUUGAGUGUGCUGUUUUUGGGGGUUCGAGGCCCCUCCCCGGCACCA